GUGGGGAAUAUUGGACAAUGGGCGAAAGCCUGAUCCAGCCAUGCCGCGUGUGUGAAGAAGGUCUUCGGAUUGUAAAGCACUUUAAGUUGGGAGGAAGGGCAGUAAGUUAAUACCUUGCUGUUCUGACGUUACCGACAGAAUAAGCACCGGCUAACUUCGUGCCAGCAGCCGCGGUAAUACGAAGGGUGCAAGCGUUAAUCGGAAUUACUGGGCGUAAAGCGCGCGUAGGUGGUUUUGUAAGUUGGAGGUGAAAUCCCCGGGCUCAACCUGGGAACUGCCUCCAAAACUGCAUGACUAGAGUACGGUAGAGGGUAGUGGAAUUGCCUGUGUAGCGGUGAAAUGCGUAGAUAUAGGAAGGAACACCAGUGGCGAAGGCGACUACCUGGACUGAUACUGACACUGAGGUGCGAAAGCGUGGGGAGCAAACAGGAUUAGAAACCCUGGUAGUCC
rnacentral:rRNA from 1 species